AGGAAGAGACAUGAGGUCCUAGAAGCCCUGGAAGUGAUCCUGGGGGGAUCGGGAACGAGGGUGGGCGGAGGCCGGAGUUCCAGGGCCCAGGGCUGGGAAUGCCGAGGCUUCAAGCGCGGGUUCGGGAGGCGAGGCGACCCCAGUCACGCUCCUGGCUCGGCUUCCCCACGGGGCCCCGCAGCACUGACACCCCCCCGGGAGAAGAGGCCCUGCCCGAGGCCGCCCUACCUGCGCGGAGAGCUCCGCCAUCGCUGCGCCGAGCCUCGCCGUCCCUGCACUGCGUCGUCCGCUUUCCCCGCCCGUGGUCGCGACUGCUCGGGGGUCCCGCAAACCCCGCGGCCCGGCCCCUUUCACUCAGCCGCCCCCGGGGACCGCAGCCGUCACCGGCUCAGCUGCUGCCAUUUCACCCGCUGACAGGAGCCGCUGCCCCGCCCCCCCGAGGCCCGGUCAACCAAUUCACCGCCCCCUUAGGCCAUUGGCUCCGCCCAUUGCAGAAGAGUGACAGGAGAUCUGACCAAUCCAGAGCUAGUCUAUAAGGCGGGCCCUGGCUACGGUUCUCUGAGGAGAGGAGCGAAUUGAAAUGAGAGAAUCUGUGAUAGACGCAUGAUUUUGCUUAUCAAAAUAAGGAAUAGUAUUGAUCGACACCUAAACUACCAAUAGUUAUUGGUAAGAGGUGUGCCUCUGAAGGAAGGAUGCGGCCUCGAGCAACCCUUAGCUGAGGCACUAAGUCCCACCCAGAGCCUGAUUUCUACCCAAUCAUGAGAGGGGCUGAGCCGUCCAUUAUUAUCUGCCCCUCAAACCUCGGGCCUGGCAACUGUUGAGAUGGGAGGGGGUGUGCUAUGAAGAUUGACAUCUAAUCAGCCAAUGAAACUGAUGGAGGGCGGACUCUUAUGGCAUCUGACCAAUGGAGUCAUGAGGCUGGGAAUGAGUUUUGCGUCCUGGGCGGUGGGACUUGAGGCCAGGGUCUGAAUGGAAUGGAGGAGGGGCUAAUGGAGGGGGCGUGUCCCAGUGCAAGUAUAGGCGGGAUCAGACUAGGGCCGGGCGUUAGAAGGGGCGUUACUGGAAAGCUUAUCUUCAGAGCAGGGUCUGGAGGGUGGUCUGGGUGGUUACGUCAGGUUCUGCCCCUGCUAGGUGAAUCUGGCAUCAAAACUCCGAUUGCAUCCUCCAUCUGCUCCAACAUUACCUCUUCAGGGGUGCGGGGAGGGGGGAGCAAGGGGGCGGAGUGGGUAGGGAGUCAGGUUGGGAGCCGCUUACGUGAAAGCUGUUUGUAAACGCUUGAAGAUUGAAUGAAUGGACCCAUGAUCGUUUUGCCGCCUCCUCCUCCUCCCGCUUCCGAUUCCUUUUUUUUUUUUUUUUUUAAUUUUGAGACAGAGUUUCCUGUAGACCAGGAUGGUCUUGAACUUUUCUACGUAACAGAGGGUGACCUUGAACUCCCUAUCUUCCCAUCUCCACUUCCCUCUCCUUUACCACCAUGACCAGACCCCAGAUUCUUUUAGAAAGUGAGGACAAAGACCAUGUAUGCACCGUCAUUGACAGCGGGCAAGACUUACUAAAUGGAUUGAUUAGUCUAGGAUGUGGGGAUGGGCCUUGGACAGGGUGAGGCAGGGAAGAUGUGUCACAGAAGGAAAGGUGACGUCAUAGGUUCAUCAGGGGUGGUCUGGGAUUCCAAAGCUGGGGAGGCUGAGGCAGGAAGACUGCUGAGAGGUGUAGAACAGCCUGAUUCACAAAAUGAGUUCUGGAGCAGUCAAGGCUACAAAACAAGUUCAGCAUGGUAGCUAAGGAUAGGGAGACAGGAGGGAAAACAGAGGAGAGCCUAUUCAUAAUAGGGAAGUUGAUAGAAGUAAUUUUGGGGAUUCUGAAGAUGUAAUUCAACGGCAGAAAGCUUGCUAACAUGUGUGAGACCAAAGCUUUCAUCGCCAAUACCACAAAAAGGCAAACACAGUGAGUUCACGAGUGCAGGAGUCUUGUCGUGUCCAGAAGACCCUGCUAUACUCUGGAUUUGUCUGACCUUUGGUUCUCACAUCAAUCCUGAGAUGGUCCCUGAGUUUGAGGAGGAGGAGGAAGAAUAGUUGUCUGAAGAUGAUGGUAGAGUCUGGCUCCAAAAUCCCAGAGGUCUCAUCUGUGAUUCACCUAUGGAGGCCUGCCAAAGGCUCUAAACAGCAUCCCUACCUGCCACUGCCACCUCAAGUACCAUUAGGUCUGCUGGGUUAUGUGGUCCUGCCCAGCAACCUGGACCUGCUGAAGAGCCUCUUCCUGUCCCAGGCCCAACCCAAAGCUAGCAGCUUUCCAAGUCACUUGGUAUCUGGGCUGAAGUAACCACACUCAAGUGAGGAAUGUACUGUUUCCAGAAUACAAGUGCUGUGGGAUGUCCUGCAUGCUGUGAA